GGCUGUUCUGGAAUGUCAUACUCUGAAA
rnacentral:miRNA from 1 species